rnacentral:tRNA from 1 species
ACUAGUUAAAUGCGUAAUGCGAUUUGAUUUCGACUCAAAAGGUGAUUAAUA